rnacentral:tRNA from 1 species
GAUUACAAUGGUGCAGCGGUUAGCACUGUUGCCUCCCAAGAAGGAGGUUCUGGGUUUGAGUCCCAGCUGGAUCC